rnacentral:rRNA from 1 species
UACGAAGGGGGCUAGCGUUGUUCGGAAUCACUGGGCGUAAAGCGCGCGUAGGCGGCGAACCAAGUCAGAGGUGAAAGCCUGGAGCUCAACUCCAGAACUGCCUUUGAAACUGGUUUGCUAGAGUGUCGGAGGGAUAGCGGAAUUGCUAAUGUAGAGGUGAAAUUCGUAGAUAUUAGCAGGAACACCGGUGGCGAAGGCGGCUAUCUGGACGACAACUGACGCUGAGGCGCGAAAGCGUGGGGAUCAAACAGGGAUUAAGAAA